AGCGAACGCUGGCGGCAGGCUUAACACAUGCAAGUCGAGCGGGCAUAGCAAUAUGUCAGCGGCAGACGGGUGAGUAACGCGGGGGAACGUACCUUUUGGUUCGGAACAACUGAGGGAAACUUCAGCUAAUACCGGAUAAGCCCUUACGGGGAAAGAUUUAUCGCCGAAAGAUCGGCCCGCGUCUGAUUAGCUAGUUGGUGAGGUAAUGGCUCACCAAGGCGGCGAUCCGUAGCUGGUCUGAGAGGAUGAUCCACCACAUUGGGACUGAGACACGGCCCAAACUCCUACCGGAGGCAGCAAGGGGGAAUAAUGGACGAUGGGCGCAAGCCUGAUCCCUCCAUGCCGCGUGGGUGAUGAAGGCCCUAGGGUUGUAAAGCUCUUUUGUGCGGGAAGAUAAUGACGGUACCGAAAGAAUAAGCCCCGGCUAACUUCGUG
rnacentral:rRNA from 1 species